CGAAAGCCUGACGGAGCAAUACCGCGUGCGGGAGGAAGCUUUUUGGAGUGUAAACCGCUUUUCUCUGGGAAGAUAAUGACGGUACCAGAGGAAUCAGCAUCGGCUAACUUCGUGCCAGCAGCCGCGGUAAUACGAGGGAUGCAAGCGUUAUCCGGAAUUAUUGGGCGUAAAGCGUUCGUAGGUGGCUAGAUAAGUCUGUCGUCAAAGCAUGGAGCUUAACUCCAUUAAGGCGAUGGAAACUGUUUGGCUAGAGUGUGGUAGGGGUAACAGGAAUUCCCAGUGUAGCGGUGAAAUGCGUAGAUAUUGGGAAGAACACCAGCGGCGAAAGCGUGUUACUGGGCCACAACUGACACUGAGGGACGAAAGCUAGGGGAGCG
rnacentral:rRNA from 1 species